GACUUCACCACGACCCGUGAGAUCAUGACCUGCGCAGAAAUCAAGAGUCGGAUGCUUAACCUAACCGACUGAGCCCAGCAGGGCGCCCGUACCUGAAACAUUUUAGAGGGACACUUGCAGACGCUGAGGUCCAGCUGGAUGUGGGUGAUGCUGAAAGGAUGGAGCCAGAGGUGAUGCAGAUGGAGGAGCCACUGGAGGGGCAAGGGCUGCAGGCAGCCACACUUCUAUUUACUUCUUCAAAGGCUUACUUUGCAACUACCAUGUGGGAAGUUCUUUCUUGCAACAGAUUGAAGAGGAAGAGUAUUGUGUACCUGGGUUUCAAUUAGAUUGAUUCUGUUAACAACAACAGUAGCUAAAACUUGUGGGAGACUUACUAUGGAUCAGAUGAAGAAACUGAGGCAAAGUAACUGUUCCAAGGCCAUUAGUGCCAAGCAUUGGAGACAAGAUUUGAGCCCACGCAGGCUUCUUCCUAUCAUGAUGAUCCUGUGGUUGACCAGGCAGCCUGGGCUUUCUGGUGUAGAGGAGGAAAAAUAAUUUUCUCCCUGCUGUUCUAGGUUCUUGGCCGAGACCCACCCACUCCCCCAUAACAAAAGACAAUUUAAUAGGAGAAAAACAAAUAGAAGUUUAAUAUCCUAUAUACUUCCUAUACCCAUAGGAGAGGCCCAGGAAAAUGGAGUAACUCCCCCAAAUGACCCAAGCCUCCAUCUUAAAUACCAUUUCCAGUUAAAGGCAAAGGAAGAUGGGGGGACAGGUAUGGGAGGUUAACCAGGAAAAGUAUAGUAAACAAGAGUAAGAUUGUCAUGCAGAUCUAAAUCUUGGCCUUCUCCAUAGGAGAUAGGAGCUCCUAGAGAUUUAGAGUCAUCCUCUCCCUGGUACAAAGACAGAGACACCCUUACAGAUGGAGAUUUCCCUUAUAAAUGGAAAUGUCUCUUACCAAAAGGAUAACUUUGAUUAGGGUUUUCAGAGCUUGUCCUGUGCCUGCUGUUUCUUAAAUAAUCUGCCUAAAAUAAUCCUCAUGCCAAAGAGGCACAUUUUGGGGUAGCAAAUUCUUCUCCUUUUUGCUGGCAUUGAAAUUAAGGGAGAAAAGCAAAGAAAUGAUUAGAAUGUCUGUUCCCUACCUACUCCGUCCAUGGUGAAAGCACCGUGUUUCCAGACAGGCACAAAAGUCCUUUCUUCCUUGAGUCUGUUACACUGAAUCUCGGGACUCUUUCACUGCUGUAUACACACCCUGACAUUCCCUGUGGCCUGCGCCUAGAGUGAGGUCCGAGCUCUCUCAUAAACUCAGAGACCUCAGGGCCUAAAGAGGCCAUCCGAAUGAGACUUUGGAACCAAGCUGAAAACGGCGUCAGGGAAGCUCUACAAUCCAGAGGCUGGCACUAGGCUGGGGAAGAGGCGCUGUCGUGGAAAGGUUCGGAAGGGCAGGUACUGUUGGCAUAUGGCGGAUGGAGAAGCUGGAGUAUAAAAUGAAAGAGAGAAGCAGACAAUUAUUGGACUUCUCUGGCAGAAGCAGUUGGGCAACUAUUGACCCUUGGGCCCAAAGCGGGUUUCAGCAGGAUGACCAAUUCCGAAGCUCAGGGCUAAUCCUGUAAGGGAAUCCGUCAGAAGGGGUGAAAGCAGGAUGAAAUAUUACAGUUGCCAGUGGAUAUGUUUAAACUGACCAAGGAGCAGUAACCCAGUUAGAUUUCAGUAGGUGUGCAAACAUCCUGGCACAAGUUGUUCGGAGGCCAUUCCUCAAAAAUGUUAUGGAUGGAAGAACAUAUAUUUCUAACUUGUUAGACUUUUUCAGCAAUUUAUGAGCCAAAAAGUUUGAAGAAUGUUUAUAAAUCUCACUUGCAAGCUGUAGUUAGACAUAACCUGCAUUUACUCUACUGAGUAACACAAAAGAGAGCAGAGAGUGGGGAAAAAUCACAAAGCCAGAGAAAAAUCACCCAUGCUCUAGGGUAGAAGGUAAAGUAGACUCGGGGUAAUAAAUUGUCUUCCUAAAUUGUCAUUCACCCCCAAACAGACCCUGAGACGGGGAUUUAGGCGCAAGUAGUUUGUUUGGGAGGGGAUCCCAGGAAGCACAGGGAGGGAAUAGGGAAGUGGGACAGGGAGGGAAUGGAAGCCAAUAACGAGUACCACUCCGGGCAACUGGAGCACAGGCCUGAUGGGGACCCCUUGAGAGACUGGUGAGCACAUUCCAGAACUGUGCCACCAAGGGGUGAGGAAGCUGAGGUGUUUCCCAUUGAUUCCCAUCCCUCUCUGGUUGAGGAUGGUCUUCUAGUGUUAACUCUGGAGUGCUCCCCCUGCCCCAAACCUUCCCAUGGCCAGAUAUCACUCUCACUCAGAGAGAAACACCCAACCCAGCUGUGUAAGUGACCUCCAGGGAGUGCAAGGGAUAUGGGUAUGCCGCCAAUAGUGACCGAUAUGUAAAUUCUUCUCCCGGUCCUGUCAGUUUCUCAAGCACAUAUACAAAAAAUGAAAUAUCAGGGACAUUAUUAGUUUUUAAAUAUACUUCAAAUUACU